UACGUAGGGGGCAAGCGUUGUCCGGAAUUACUGGGCGUAAAGGGUGCGUAGGCGGUUUUUUAAGUCAGAUGUGAAAUACCCGGGCUUAACCUGGGGGGUGCAUUUGAAACUGGGGAACUUGAGUGCAGGAGAGGAAAGUGGAAUUCCUAGUGUAGCGGUGAAAUGCGUAGAUAUUAGGAGGAACACCAGUGGCGAAGGCGACUUUCUGGACUGUAACUGACGCUGAGGCACGAAAGCGUGGGGAGCAAACAGG
rnacentral:rRNA from 1 species